GACGAACGCUGGCGGCGUGCCUAAUACAUGCAAGUCGAGCGAAGUUUUUCUGGUGCUUGCACUGACAACACUUAGCGGCGAACGGGUGAGUAACACGUAAAGAAUCUUCCUCAUAGACGGGGACAACUAUUGGAAACGAUAGCUAAUACCGCAUAAUAGCAUUAACUGCAUUGUUGAGGUUUAAAAGUUUGUUUUGCUAACACUAUGAGAUGGCUUUGCGGUGCAUUAGCUAGUUGGUGGGGUAAAGGCCUACCAAGGCGACGAUGCAUAGCCGACCUGAGAGGGUGAUCGGCCACACUGGGACUGAGACACGGCCCAGACUCCUACGGGAGGCAGCAGUAGGGAAUCUUCCGCAAUGGGCGAAAGCCUGACGGAGCAACGCCGCGUGAGUGAAGAAGGAUUUCGGUUCGUAAAGCUCUGUUGUUAGGGAAGAAUGGUUGUGUAGUAACUAGACGCCGUAGUGACGGUACCUAACCAGAAAGCCACGGCUAACUACGUG
rnacentral:rRNA from 1 species